rnacentral:lncRNA from 1 species
AUGGACACCGCCCGGGGAAUGUGCAGAGGUCAGGCCGGGGCGUCGAGGGCGGGGUGGGGAGGGCUCCUGGCACAGGCACAGGUCCCGAGCCUGCCUCCCCGGCCGAGGGGACGGACAGAGUGUGGAAGGACGUCAGGCUGGGAGGCCUUGGGGGGCGGGGGGAUGCGUUCCCAGGAAGGGCAGGGGUCGGCUCAGGGGAGAGCGGGCGGGGGGGGGGUGUGCACAGGACGAUGUGAGCCCAGCCCGGAGCCCGGGGGAGGGUCUGUGGGGGCUUCUCUGGGGGAGGCAGCAGGUGACUGCAGAGAGGGGUCCUGCUGGCCGGCCUGGGGGGAGCCCCGGGGGGGACGGGGCGUGAGGGAGGCAGGCGCCCCGCGGGCCAGCAGGGCCUCGAGCCACCCACUUCCUGUGACGGGCCAGGCCAUCUGGGAUCCGGAAAUUAAGCCGGCCCUUCCAAUCCCCUCUGGGUCUCCGUGUUCCCGGGGUUUAACAGAACGUCCAGGCCUCCCUCAGCAGAGCCCCACGUUCCUGCCCCGGGAAGGGGAAGGUGCUCGCAGGCCGCUGGCCGCAGGCCCCCGAAUCUCGAAGCUCGGAGGCUUUGGGCAGGGUCCCACCACGAAGCGGGCUCGGGGGCUGUGGCUCACCUUCCCUGAGAACCGGCGAGCCCCCCCNNNNNNNNNNNNNNNNNNNNNNNNNNNNNNNNNNNNNNNNNNNNNNNNNNNNNNNNNNNNNNNNNNGGGCGCGGGGGGGGGGAGGGGGGGGGGGGGGGGGACCAGAGGGCUCUGCCCUGACUUGCCCCGGGGUCCUCCCGGGAGCCUCUGCCCACAGCCGGGGUGCUUGGGAGGGCCAGCUGGUCCCUCUGCCCCCGGGGAAGCACUCGGGGCCCUGCCUGACUCGGCCUGGCCAGCUCCAGACUCCGUGGUCCUGUCCCCCCGCAGAGCUCGGCCACUCCUCCGUGUGGCCCAGCCCCCCCACCUGCCUGUCCUUGGCGGCGACCCCCGGGUUCCCGCGGACAGCUGCGGGCCCUCCCUGCGGGCUCCCCCCUGCACCUGCCCACUCUGCCCUCCCGGCCAGCCCGGGGCUCCCCGAGGGCACCUGCCUGCCAGCAGCCACAGCACUUGCCGAGGCCCGCUGGCGCCACGAGGUCAGAGCCCCUGGAGGUCAGCUUCUCUGUUGCAAAUUUGUCCGUCAUGUUCCAGGAGGGCAGGGGACCUCGCAGCUUGGUCUGGGGAAGGGGGCUCUCAGGCCCCCGCGCUCCUCUGUGGGAUGGAGCGGUGUCGUCCAGGACGGAGGAGGAACAGGUCAUGGGUGGGGGAGGACGGUGGCCCGAGGGCUCAGCCAGACCCACGUGCCCAAGACCCAGUGAACAGAACCACCUGCCCGGAAGCAGUUCUGGGACCACGAUGA